rnacentral:rRNA from 1 species
UACGUAGGGUGCGAGCGUUAAUCGGAAUUACUGGGCGUAAAGCGUGCGCAGGCGGUGAGCUGUGUCCGAUGUGAAAGCCCCGGGCUUAACCUGGGAAUGGCAUUGGAAACUGGCUCGCUGGAGUGUGGCAGAGGGGGGGUGGAAUUCCGCGUGUAGCAGUGAAAUGCGUAGAUAUGCGGAGGAACACCGAUGGCGAAGGCAAUCCCCUGGGCCUCCACUGACGCUCAUGCACGAAAGCGUGGGGAGCAAACAGGA